rnacentral:rRNA from 1 species
UGCCAGUGAUAAACUGGAGGAAGGUGGGGAUGACGUCAAGUCAUCAUGGCCCUUACGACCAGGGCUACACACGUGCUACAAUGGCAUAUACAAAGAGAAGCGACCUCGCGAGAGCAAGCGGACCUCAUAAAGUAUGUCGUAGUCCGGAUUGGAGUCUGCAACUCGACUCCAUGAAGUCGGAAUCGCUAGUAAUCGUAGAUCAGAAUGCUACGGUGAAUACGUUCCCGGGCCUUGUACACACCGCCCGUCACACCAUGGGAGUGGGUUGCAAA